GUGCGCGGUACUUGGUAAAAUUUAACGCGUUCGUUGCAUUUGUAUUUGUGCUCAAAUUAAUUACACGGGAGUGCAUCGACGAGGGAUGUUGCAGCUUUUUCAGUUUUGCGGUCAAUCUUACAUUAUUGUGGAUCACGGGAUCGCCACAUUUACACAUACACAAAGUGAGCGGCAGAAAAUGCUGGCGACUUCUACAGUCGAAAAAAGAGGCUUGAACAAGUUGUUUUUCAAGUUGUGAUGACAGAGCAUCCUAGUUCGAAAAAGCGUGCAUACGCGGUUCUCUCCAGUAUCCUGCAUUUGCACGGAGAGAAUGUGUUUCCUAGAAUGAUGUUGAACAUACCAGUUUCGAGAAACUGUAACUGACGUUGUUCCACUUCGCUUGCCAUGUGCUUGGCCAUUCGCGAGAGAACACGCACACGCGCCGUAUCACAUAUACGGUGUCGUGGUUGCUCCAAGUCUCGAGAAUAUCGGCGAAAAUGUUUCAAAAUAGUCCACAGUUUGACAUACGCCAGCGAGUGGUGUGUUUGUUAGAAUCUUUUUAUCGAGUUAGCGCCGCGACGUCGAUAGAAACGUGCGAUACAGCACAGAGUGAAAUAAACAGUUAAUUUUGAUAUCUUUAUCAAUGUUUUUUAGGUAAUUAAAGUAAUCAGAAUUUCUUGUGUUCUUUUUAUUUAAAAAGUAUAUAAUCAUCGAUAGUCAUGCCUAACAAAUUGCCUUGAAAGUAAUUAUAAAACCGAAUAAUUAUUCAACCGUGUUUGUGAAAAAAAAGUAAAAUCGAACUUCGAGGUAGGUUUGAAAUGCUCUUUCUGCUAGAAAACAUCAGUGUGCAUUCAUCCGGCUGUAUCCGAUCGAGCGUAUUAAAGUCCACAAUGCGCCGGCACGUUAAUCUUUACAGGUCAAACGCAUAACAUCUCUGCCUUCGACCGGAAACCACGCACGCGAUACGUACACACACCCCCGUGUGUUUCAAUAACUUGAUGUAAAAAUACGUGUAUGCUGGAAAUUCUUUCUGGAGGUUACAGAAAAACAUGUACGUUAUAUAUCAUCACAAACACGUAAAAGACACUCUCGUCCAUAUAAUAUUCGCACACGCACGAAAACAUGUGAACGAAACCCUCCCGUGGGAAAAAAAGUUACGAGACAUAUAAUUCACCGUUUCGUAAUAACGACACGGUCUUUCGAGCGCUCACAAAUUUUGAUAAAGUGUAAUAUGUGUCUAAAUAUUGUUUCACUUUUAUUUUUACGUUUAACUAUGUUUAAUAAUUGCGUGGAAUAUAAAAUAUAAUUAUCUUACUUGAACAUAAAAAUUUCACAAACGAAAGUAAAAUGUUCAUUGGUAACAAUUAAAUUGCUCUAAUUGUUUGAUUAAAAAAAUAUUGGAAGAAUUGCUUUGUAUAGUACAAACAUUUUCAAAUUUGCCGAGAGAAAAUAUAAAAAUUCUAAAUGUCAUAAUAGCGACUUCUAAACAUGUGCAUUAACUGUAUGCAUUGUCAACAAUAUGCAAAUGUUAAGUUCUCAUCAAGCCGGUCUUGUAGGGAACUUGGGACAGUAACACAUCUCAAGGUAUUAGAUCGAGCUUACUCGACAGAUUCAAUUGGGCACACUUGCUGUACAUGAGAAUACCACUUAACGUCGCCUGUGCUAUCCUUCCAU